CUAAUCAAGGUCUUCAGAAUUACUAGGGCAACAGGCAGGUGAGAUUUUUUCAGCAUUGGAGCAAAACUCUGCAGGACAUCGGCACUCCAGGACUGAAGUUUCCUACCCCUGACCUAAAGGAUAAGCUAGCAGCAAAACGAAAAGAAAAAAAAAGUACUAGUGUGAAAAUAGGUCUAAUGGAGACUCCCUGGUAGAGAUGUUCUAAGUGCCGACCUCGUCCCCAGCCUAAUAAAGUCUGCUAUAACACACACACACACCAACAGAGGUAAUUAACUGUGACCAGCGCUUCACACUCUUCAAAUUACUGAUGGACCUUUAUUCCAUCCUGUGCCUGAGGAAUGGAUCCACUCACAGUAGUUUGCUCCAUGGGUAGUCAGGAUGACAUCAUCGCUGCAGCCCACACUCUGACAAGUCAACACUCAAGAGAUACAUAUUAAAUGUUAAGAUAUCGCAUUAAAAAAUAAAUAUAUAACACUCGUCAUGAAUUAAACAUGUAGGGGGCCACCUGCGUAAUGUUCCAGACUUUCCACUGUCUUGUCAUCUCCAUCCACAUUCUUCUCUCUCUCUCUCUCUCUCUCUCUCUCUC